GCUGCCCCUUGAGGCGUUGCAGCUCAGCCUUCCAUGUUGCAGCUGUGUCGAAAGGUGGCAGAGAGCAAAGGUGGUCGUCUACACUGAGUCUUCACGAUGACGACUCGGCAUGGUGUUGACCAUCAACAU